rnacentral:lncRNA from 1 species
CUUGAUAAUCUCUUCCAUAAAAUCUUGCUUAUUAGCUGGACAUCAAUCCCUCUUCUUUUAGCCUUCUACAAAUGGUCCGGUCUGACACAACAAUUACAGCUUUAUGGAUAAGCUUAGUCAAUAAGUUUAGUGGCUUUUUUUCUGUUUUCCAGGCAGAUAAAUCUGAUUAUACUGUCCGCUCUUGGUGGUUUCUUGCGUUUAGAAAGUGGUCUCCUUAGA